UACUCCAGUGGCCUAGUGGUUAGAGCGUCUGCCUUGGAUGUGGGAGGUUGUGGGUUCGAUCCCCAGUUGGGUCA